rnacentral:rRNA from 1 species
CUGUCUAUCGUUGUGGUGUCCCUUCCCUUCUUCCUCGAGCUAGCUCUCUCUAGCCUUCAGUUGACUAGCUCCCUCGUACCUCUUCAUGCUCGGCCAGGCCCUCUAGCCCAGCCCGUUGAAGCCCCACCGGUUUGACUACGCGUUGGCCCUGUGCGCGCUCGAGCAGCGGUACUUCAAGUAGCUCGCUCCUAUGUCCUAGCUGCUCUUGCACAAGGCCCUCUAGCACUUGGUGGCCAGCGACGCCGUGGGGUUGUAGUAGGCGAAGUUCCUCCACCACGAGUGCGGGUGUGUGGACCCGUAGCAGUACCUCAUGCGGCGGCCGCCGCUCGAGAAGCUCGCGUAGACGCUGCGGCCGGCGAAGGUGCUCCUGCUCCGCGCGAUGAAGAAGGUCGUCGAGCAGACGCCGCAGUCGAAGACGGUGCGGUACGUCUAGACGGUGGCGCUGGAGUUCGACCUCUUGUGGGAGGAGCUGCCGUCGGGGCGCGGCGCUGAGUUCUAGACGCUGAAGCCUAUGAGUUUCAGCAGACAAGACGUGAGCGCCGGGUUCAGCUGCCACCCGUGCGGCCGCAUGUAGCGCGGCCUCCACGACAGCGCGGCGCUCAUGCUGCCCUUCGUGCGCCUGCACACCAGCACGCCCCACUGCGAGAUGCAGUACGACCACCCGCCGAUGGGCAAGCUCCUGUGGUUCCUGGGGUUCUUGAAGGCGUUCUGGUAGCGCGCCUAGUACAGCCACGUCAUGUUCUAGGGGCUCAUGCACGUGCAGAGCGUCUGGACGGCGGUGGACGAGAGGGCGUAGAAGCAGCGGCUGGGCGCGUUCGCGUAGUGGUACCGGCUCUAGUUCCGCGUGGGGACCAAGGAGUUCUUGGACGGCGCCCUCGAGUUCCUCCUCCGCGUCGUCCGGAUGAUGUUGGCGGCCGUGCAGCUGCAGCGAGGGAGGAGGUUGCCGUCGCGGCCACGCUCGCGCCGCCGGAGGAGGUUACCGCCCCCUCGCCGCCACGGGCGCGGGCGCGGCCGGAUGAGCCGCGUCUCGCACCUCCUCUAGUACUUCUAGCACGUCCUCCGCGUCUGCCACGGGUUCGGGCUGUUCGGGCACAGGCCCAUGCCGACCCCGUGGCCGCUGCCGCUCCGGAGGCUGCUCCUGCUGCCGUUGGUCCUCCCCCUCCUCCUCCUCAUGCCGCUCCUGCUCAUACUGGCCUGCCACGCCCUCCAGGUGCGGUCGCCGCUGAAGCCGUACUCGUUCGAGGUUUAGACUGCAGUUAAAGCAGAGUGGUGUACCGCGGCCGGUAACGAGGAGUACAGCAAAGACCGGGUGAGACCAAUUAAUAGACAAUAUUCUAACUUAAAAAGAAAAACGGUUAACAUUGUUUAAUCGAUUAAUUGUAAUUCAAAAAACAAGGUUAGAGAAUACAGGCCCGUUACACCUUACCCACGAACGAACGUCAAGGAGAGUCACUUAGAGUCGUGACCUAUGCCAUCAGGUUUAAAACACUUUUUGAUGUGAUGUAUAUCAUAUCAAACAAGA